rnacentral:misc_RNA from 1 species
GCGACAAGUACUUUGGACUGUCAUCUUCCGGAGUAACAUUUAAGUCAAGCUCUUCCUCUUUUAGUAGCAGUGGCAACUUUCAGAGUAGUGAUCGCUAUGGAGGUUUUGGAAAUAAAAAUGAUGGAAAUUCAUUCAAGGAUAGUUACAAGGAAAAGGAUCGGUAUGGUGAAGAUAAGGUUGACCGAAGUACUUUUAAAUCAAAAAAGGGGUCAUCUCAUUAUGGC